UCAUCAUCAUCUUCAUCUGGACUCUCACAGCGUUUGCUCAAGAGUGUAGAGGACAGAUCACCGUCACUCAGAGUCCCUCAAUGACAGCAGCUCAACCAGGACAAACUGUGAACAUCAACUGUAAAACCACAGAUGUGCUUAAUGGAGAUCAUUUAUUCUGGUACUUACAGAAACCUGGAGAAGCUCCUAAAAACCUGAUCCGUCAUGUAAAAAUACUCAUCGCUGGAACUCCAUCUAGAUUCAGUGGCAGUGGAUCUAACAAUGAUUUCACUCUGACCAUCAGUGGAGUCCAGACUGAAGAUGCUGGACAUUAUUACUGUCUUGGUAGCCACUGGAUCAAUGGCUGGAUGUUCACACAGUGAUAAAGAGUCGUACAAAAACCUCCGUCAGUCAGAGUCACAGUGACUGAACUGAUACUGCAGCUGCUCACACACUUUCACACACUUUCACACACUACUGACACACAGAGGACAAACACAGGAACUACACAUGUGCUCAAAACUGACUUAAGACUGAAAUCAGCUCUAUUAGACUGAGAUCUGUCCUGUGACAGAUGGGUUUGACUCAAAUAUGCUCAGAAUCUGAGAUAAACUGAUAUCAAAUCAAAUAAAACACAAAUUUUCCUCAGUUCCGGUGUUCAAUCAUACUGUACCCCUGAUAAACUUGCCUUAUAAAACUACAACUGAAACUCCAUAAGCAGAAGUGAAAGUGUUCCAGUUGAGAGCAUUGAAUCAAACUUUGAAUGAACGACACACUGAUCAAUGAUGCAGUCGGACACAAAUGUAACGCGUUCAGAAGCUUUAUUGAAUGAACAGCAAUGGCAGCACAUUGAAAGACUGCUUCAGUAUUGAGCUGUAAAUCACGUGACUGCUGUGAAUCCUGCUGGACGCUCAGAUACGGCUCGUCUGGACCGGAGAAACAUCAGCACUGGGAGCUCUUGAGGAACGAGGCCUCGUGUUCAGCUCCAUCUUGUCUUCCCAACAUGCUUUGCUGAGGUUCAAGACUCCUACAUUACAGCAGCCAAAUAAACUCUGACAUUAAAAUAUCAAGUCAAAGUACCCGACUAAAGAAAACACUGAUUACCGUGAUGGUGAUAUCAAAAACCCAAACAAAUUUCAAUAAAAUUUCAACAACAACAAAAAACCUCUGUUAAGCUAGCUUCUGUGGAUUUAAAACAGAUCUGCUGAGAUCUUGAGAGAUUU